rnacentral:rRNA from 1 species
AUACGUAGGUGGCAAGCGUUGUCCGGAAUUACUGGGUGUAAAGGGCGUGUAGGCGGAGCGGCAAGUCAGAAGUGAAAUCUCUGGGCUCAACCCGGAAACUGCUUUUGAAACUGUCGCCCUUGAGUAUCGGAGAGGCAGGAGGAAUUCCUAGUGUAGCGGUGAAAUGCGUAGAUAUUAGGGGGAACACCAGUGGCGAAGGCGGCCUGAUGGGCGACAACGAACUCUGAGGCGCGAAAGCGGGGGGAGCAAACAGGAUUAGAUGCCCUGGUUGUCCACGCCGUAAACGAUGGAUACUAGGUGUGGGGGGACUGACCCCCUCCGUGCCGCAGUAAACACAAUAAGUAUCCCACCUGGGGAGUACGACCGCAAGGUUGAAACUCAAAGGAAUUGACGGGG